CUGCCCACGGUUGCAGGGGUCAUAGCUGCGGCCGGGCCCCCUGGAGUGAGGGGCCUGGUCGCAGCUGCGACCUCUGCAACUGUGGU